UACGGGGGGAGCACGCGUUGUUCGGAUUUACUGGGCGUAAAGGGCGCGUAGGCGGCCACCGCAAGUCGACUGUGAAAUCUCCGGGCUUAACCCGGAAAGGUCAGCCGAUACUGCGGGGCUAGAGUGCAGAAGGGGCAACUGGAAUUCUCGGUGUAGCGGUGAAAUGCGUAGAUAUCGAGAGGAACACCGGCGGUGUAGACGGCUUUCUGGACCGUAGCUGACGCUGAGACACGAAAGCGUGGGUAGCAAACAGG
rnacentral:rRNA from 1 species